UACGUAGGCAGCGAGCGUUGUUCGGAUUUACUGGGCGUAAAGGGCGCGUAGGCGGUCGUGACAAGUCACUUGUGAAAUCUCCGGGCUUAACUCGGAACGGUCAAGUGAUACUGUCGGACUAGAGUACAGAAGGGGCAACUGGAAUUCUCGGUGUAGCGGUGAAAUGCGUAGAUAUCGAGAGGAACACCUGCGGCGAAGGCGGGUUGCUGGGCUGAUACUGACGCUGAGGCGCGAAAGCCAGGGGAGCGAACAGG
rnacentral:rRNA from 1 species